rnacentral:rRNA from 1 species
AAGCUUGCUUCUCUGAUGUUAGCGGCGGGCGGGUGAGUAACACGUGGAUAACCUACCUAUAAGACUGGGGUAACUUCGGGAAACCGGAGCUAAUACCGGAUAAUAUUUUGAACCGCAUGGUUCAAAAGUGAAAGACGGUCUUGCUGUCACUUAUAGAUGGAUCCGCGCUACAUUAGCUAGUUGGUAAGGUAACGGCUUACCAAGGCAACGAUGCAUAGCCGACCUGAGAGGGUGAUCGGCCACACUGGAACUGAGACACGGUCCAGACUCCUACGGGAGGCAGCAGCAGGGAAUCUUCCGCAAUGGGCGAAAGCCUGACGGAGCAACGCCGCGUGAGUGAUGAAGGUCUUCGGAUCGUAAAACUCUGUUAUUAGGGAAGAACAUAUGUGUAAGUAACUGUGCACAUCUUGACGGUACCUAACCAGAAAGCCACGGCUAACUACGUGCCAGCAGCCGCGGUAAUACGUAGGUGGCAAGCGUUAUCCGGAAUUAUUGGGCGUAAAGCGCGCGUAGGCGGUUUUUUAAGUCUGAUGUGAAAGCCCACGGCUCAACCGUGGAGGGUCAUUGGAAACUGGAAAACUUGAGUGCAGAAGAGGAAAGUGGAAUUCCAUGUGUAGCGGUGAAAUGCGCAGAGAUAUGGAGGAACACCAGUGGCGAAGG